rnacentral:rRNA from 1 species
UACGUAGGUGACCAGCGUUGUCCGGAUUUACUGGGCGUAAAGAGCGCGCAGGCGGUCGUUCAAGUCGAGUGUGAAAGCCCCCGGCUCAACUGGGGAGGGUCACUUGAUACUGAUCGACUGGAAGGCAGGAGAGGGAAGCGGAAUUCCCGGUGUAGUGGUGAAAUGCGUAGAUAUCGGGAGGAACACCUAUGGCGAAGGCAGCUUGCUGGGACGUUACUGACGCUAAGGCGCGAAAGCGUGGGGAGCGAACAGG